rnacentral:lncRNA from 1 species
UAAAACCAUAUAUUAUUUAUAAAAUUUAAUGACGACUCAAGUAAUAAUUCUCUAACCCAAAUUUCAUUCUAAGACCAUGAAGCAUCUAAGAGAAUUACAAAAGACAUUAUAUGAAUAAAUGAUAAAGACUCUUUUGGCAGCCUCCACGAACAAUGCGGCGGGUCACCUCAAUAACUGAAUCAACUAUAGCGAACUCGCCAGCUACUAGCUCCGUCUUUAUCAAUAGUAUCUGCAUAGACAUAUAGGUAAGGAGUGAGUUAUACGUACAUAUAACCGAGUAAGAUCCUCGACCCGCCACUCUGAAUACCUCUGAAAAACGUUUUAGAAAAUACAAACACACAACGAGCACAGAAAUAAUAUGCACAGAAAUCCUUUCACCAUAUAAUUACUCUAUAAGGUCCAAACAAUUAUUCAGCAACAACACUAUGUAUCUCAUCACAAUCUACACUAAGGACUUGUCAUAAACGGCAGUGCUGAAAAUAAACCAAACACCACAACGAGUCCACGUCAUCAUACACAAUGCCCCAAAUCUAAUCUACACAAUGGACUGGUCAUAAGCGGUAGUGCAGGAAAUUAACCAAACACCCCAACGAGUUCACGACAGUAUACACAAUGCCCCAAAUUUAUCACGGUGUCUUAUAUAAUACCCCAAAUCUAUCACGGCGGCAUACACAAUACCCUAAAUCAACCACAGCGACAUACACAAUGACCCAAAUAUAUUACGACGGUGAAUAAAUAAUUUCUAAUGCCCCAACGCCAUAGCACGAGACUACGCCACAUCAUACCAUACCACAAAUCACUUAUUAAAUAAUUUUAGCUUUUUACAAAAUAAUAUAGAUUUGCAGCUGGUCAAAGACCACUGAUUCUGCCAAGCGCACGCUUGUCCCAAUACAUGGACCAGACAGACAAAAUAUACUUUCAAAAUAGAUUUUGAAAAAGCAAUCAUCAAAGCUUAAAGUCUCACUUAUCUCGAAUUCACAAUCAAAGCACUCUUUUCAAUAACUCAAAACUAUACUCUCGAGUCUCCGCAUCACCUCAAACUUGAUGGUUUGGGUUGAAAAUCCCUAUUUUUCUCUUCUCUUUUCCUCUCAAUUCUUGUAUGAAAUGAAUGGAGAAGCUAGAAGAAGCAUCAUGUCACAACCCGAAAUUCUCAGCCUCGGGACCGUGAUGACGCCUAACAUUUCACUUGCUAGGCAAACCAACGUUAGAAAUAGUUUUUAGACAUUUUUAACAAUUCAAGUUAAAUAAUAACUAAGCAACUGAAUAAACUGAAAUAGAGUGAAUAAACAAAAAUAACAGUGAUAUCUAGAUACAAUCCUAGAACUGGUGUCACAAGUACAUGAGCGACUAGAGUACUACAAAUAAAAGUAUGAAUGAAAGCAUAAUUUUCUGAAUUGAAAUAAACAACUAGAAUAAUGUAGAAGGGGACUUCAGAGCUGCAAACGCCAUGCAGUUGUACCUCAAGUCUCUAUCAAGCACCGAAUCCGAGCAAUCUACUGACCGCCGCUAGGACCGACUCCAAAAUAUGCACAAGAAGUGCAGAGUAUAGAAUGAGUAUAACCGACCCCAUGUACUCUAUAAGUGCCGAGUCUAGCCUCGAUGAAGUAGUGACGAGGCUAAGGCGGGUAACUUAUAAUAACCUGUAUGUAAUAUAAUAAAAAUAAUAAUAAUAAUAAUAGGAAAAGAAAAUAAGAAAUGACAGCAAAUGUAAUGACUCGGCCGAUCGUUUUGAGGAUUGCAACCCCAUUUCCUCAUUUACUGCUCAUUUUGUGCUUUAUAGCUGUUAUGUGACUUGUCGGGGUAGUUGCGGAGAGGAGCUUGGAGUCACUGGUCCGCAGAUGCAGAUGGAUUUGUGUAGAUGCGCACCCGCAAGAGCGGGAUUUUUUACCGCAGAAGCGGUUGGUCGUCAUUAAGUGGACUCUGCAGAUGCGGAUGGCUGACCACAAAAGCGGUACCGUAGGAGCAGAUUUUUAGGCCGAAGAAGCGAGAAGGCCUGGGAAGAUUAUUAAUAAAUGAGGGUUCCGAGAUUUUUAAAAUUUUAAGCAUUUCAAGAUCGGGAUUUGGCGAUUUUUGAGAGGAUUGUCGGUGGAUUUCUUGAGGUAAGUCACAUGUGAUUUAAUUUGCUCAAUAAUUUUGUUUCUCCAUUGAUUUUCCGCCUAGAUUUUUUGGAUUUAAGGUGUAAUUUAGGGGUUUGAGACUAGAGAUAUGGAGAGUUUAAUUUGAGGAUUUGAGUGGCAAUAUGAUGUCGGAUUUGGGUAAAUUUGGUAUGGUUAAACUCGUGGUUGAAUGGGUGUUCGGAUUUUAUGAUUUUUAUUGGAUUCCGAGACGUGGGCCUGGGGGUCAGCUUUUGAGUCGACCUUUUGAUUUUUGAUUAAUAGCUUAGUAUUUACUUUUGGAAUUGAUUCAUUUAGCCGUGUUGAUUGUAUCGAACUGUUUGUGGCUAGAUUCGAGGCAUUUAGAGGUCGAUUCGCGAGGCAAGGGGUGUUAGAGUAGAGAUUUGCACGGUUUGAGAUAGGUAACACUUCUAAACUUGGUUCUGAGGGUAUAAAUUCCUGAAUUACGUGUAUUAUGAUUUGUUUGGAGGUGACUCACAUGCUAGGUGAUGGGCGUGCGCCAUAGAAAUUGUGACUUAAUUUAUUCCAUGGAGUUGCGUAAUCAAAUAAUCAUGUCAUUAUCUACAUAUCCUCCACAUGUUAGAGGAAUUGAGCUGGGACACAUGUUAAAGAUCAUGUUUUGGCCACAGAGAUCUUAUUGCUAUUGAAUUACUUGUUUAAAUUUAUAAUUUUGUACUCAGUCACAUCUAUCUUUUGCAUAUCAUAUCUCAGUAUCUGUUGCCAUUCAUUGAUACAUCAUGUCGGGCCGAUUUUCAUGACAUUGUGAGCCCAAUAGACUGGAGCGAGAAGGCUUGAUACCGGGUACUGUACUGAGUGAUUGAGUACUCUGAGCGUGUGAGUACGCGAGGUUUCUAUUGUAGUGUACCACAUACAUCAUUCACAGUGGCAUGUAGGUAUAGAAAUGUCAUAUCCGUCCUAUCAUUUAGAGUUAAUCUAUUUUACUUGUAUUGAGUUUUUAUCUGAUGAACUUGAAAAUAUGCCUACAUUUCUACUCUGUUAUUUUUAUAUUGAAUUGUACCUGUUGAGUUCGUCACUACUUUCAGUCCAAAGGUAAGAUUUGUUAUUUAUUGAGUUGGUUGUACUCACGCUACACCCUGCACCUCGUGUGCAAAUCCAAGUAUUUCUGGUCACGGUGGUUGCUGAGUUGCGGAGUCCUGACAUUCAGAGAUCAUCGAGGUAGCUGCUCGGCGUUCGCAGAGCUUGACUCUCCUCCCUUAUCUUUCAUGAUAUUUAUUUCAGUUUUAUUUUCUAGAUGGUGUACCAGAUUAUAUAUUUAUGUAGAUGCUCAUGUACUCGGUGACACCCCAAUUAUGGGAGAGAUUAUGUAUUGAGUUAUGACUUCCUAUCAUGUUUUUAAAAGAUUUUCCUUUAAUUAAGUUGUUUUCGUAUCUUUCAAAGUUUUAAAGUAUUAGAAAUGUAUGAUUACUCAGCUUGCCUAGUACUAUGAUAGGCGCCAUCACGGCGGGUUUGUUUUGGGUCGUGACAAGUUGGUAUCAGAGCCUAGGUUAUAUAGGUCUCACUAGUCAUGAGCAGGUUUAGUAGAGUCUUGCAGAUCGGUACAGAGACAUCUGUACUUAUCUUCGAGAGACUGCCGAACCCUUGGAAAACUUCACAUUCUUGUAUUCUUGUCGUGCGGAUUUGUUGAUUCCGGUAACUAAACUUAUGUUAUUCUAUUUUCUCACAGAUGGUGAGGACACGUGCUACCGGUCAGGACGGACAGCCACUAGUACCACCAGCACCACCAGCUAGGGCCAUGAGAAGCCGAGGUCACGGUAGGGGCAGAGGUGCAGCUCGUACAACAGCUAGAGCAACACCUACAGAUCCACCAGUUGCUCUAGCUCAGGAGCAGGUACCCGAUAUGGUUGAUCCAGUAGGGCCAGCUCAGGCACCAGCUGUGUCCAUUGUGAUUCCAGGCCAUUUGGAGGCUUUGGCUCAAAUUUUGACUGUGUGCACCAGCCUUGCUCAGGCGGUUUCUGUUCCGGCCGUAGCAGCCACUUCUCAGGCCGGGGGAGGUACUCAGACUCCCGCCGCCUGUACUCCAGAGCAGGGGAUGCAGGGACUCCAGACAUCGGGGGUACCACCAGCCUAGCCAGUUACAACUGCUUAGGCCCAGGUGGGUCCCGUUAUGACUGAUGAUGAGCAUAAGAGACUACAAAUAUUUGGGAGACUCCAGCCUUCAUCAUUCAGUGGGGCUAAGUCUGAGGAUGCCCAGGACCUUUGGGAUAGGUGCUAGCGGAUUCUUUGCACGAUAGUAUUCUAGAGACCAAUGGGGUCUUAUUCACUACUUUUUAGUUUACUGAGGCUGCCUUCAGUUGUUGGGAGACUUAUGAGAGGCGUAGGCCGGUCGGUACAACACCACUUACAUGGCGUGAGUACUCCGUUCUCUUCUUGUAGAAAUUUGUGCCACUGUUUCGCAGGGAGGAGUUGCGCAGACGGUUUGAGCAACUAUGUUAGGAUGGCAUGUCCGUGACCCAGUACGAGAUGAGAUUUUUUGAGUUGGCUCAUCACGUAGUUUCAUUGGUUCCCAUGGAUAGGGAGAGGAUUAGGAGGUUCAUUGAUGGCCUCACAUAUCAGUUGCGAUUGCUUAUGACUAGGGAGAGGAUAUCUGGUGCUACUUUUGAUUAGGUGGUUAAUAUUGCUCGGUAGAUAGAGAUGGUCCGUAGUCCUAGUAAAUCUUAGGAAUACAUUAGAGAAUCUAUAAUUAUGAUACUUCUUUUUUCUCAAACUAAGUGUUUCUUCUCUUUUCCCCCUUACCGUAUUUAUGAGACCCAAAAAACCUUUUUUCUAUAACCGUUAAGUCUUCAAAAUAUAUAAUUUUCUCAUUUCUAAAACCUGUAAUCCCUUUUAUGGAUAAAACUAGCUUUUAAAGUUCACAAAUAAUAGAGGGUAGCAUGGUAAGAAGAUAAUUAAUCCAUAUCCAUCUGUACGUUAGAGUCAACCAUAUCAAGUACAACUUGGUUAGCUAGGGUUUCCUUCUCUUAACUUGAAUCUUAAAAGUUUUAAACACAUGUCUAACUACUAUAGAGUUUUCACAGAAGUGGCAACCCGAAAAGGGUCGCUUAAUAUCUCAAAAAGUUCUUGAGUUUUAAAUAUUCAACUCAUAUUAAAAUUCAUACUAAAAGAUAUUCUAAUCUACAUCUUCUUAUGUGAGUUCUUGCACGCAUAUCAUGUCCAUAUUUUCUAUCUUUCUGGUAAGUGCAACUGCUACAGAAUAGGUUUAUGUCUUCAUAUAUGUAGUUACUACCUUGUUUAAACAAUUAACCAACCUUUCAACAAGCCUCUAAACUUAAGAUGUUGCUUGCACAUCCAGCUGAGAAAGUUUGGUGUUAUAUGUAAGUAUAUCCCUCAUAUAAAUCAAUUUCUUAAAUGAUCUAGCAUGCAAGUUCAUGUCACAAACCGUCAAGAAGGAAGUGAUUCAUAAACACUUUAGUGAAAUUAUUCCCAAAAUUAGGUGUGUUGCUCUUGUUGGCACCCUUAAGAGUACAAUAGUAUUUCAUGUAUUAGCCAUGUUCUCUAGUCUAAAAGUUGCAUGUUCCAUAGGCCUCUUCAUGAAAUAUCCUAUAGCUUAUAACGUGGUAAGUAUUUUACUAAAACCUUUAAGGAUCCUUUAAACUAUCAGAAAUAGUAAACUUAAUAGUUUCAACUUUAGGAAUUUUAUUAAGAAUAUUUUGUUGUUCCCUAUAAUCUUCUAGGUGCAUGAGGACUUUAUAGCCCCUAUUUGUUUCUCAUUUUUCUCAUGUUUAUCCAUUAUAUCCAUAAAGAUCUCAAUUUUUUUUCUUUUUCAUGGAGGUAAGUACCUUUUUGUGAUAGCACUCCUCUAUCGCUGUAGUGGUGGACUAGUAUAAAUUUUUGAAAUGGACUCUAUUACGCAUCUUACCAGGAAGCAUCUCAUAUGGCAUAAUGAACCUUUCAUCGGUCUUGUAUACUACUUAUGUAGCAUUUCUUUGCUUGGAGAUGGUUGCAUGUCCAUUGGCAAAAUUUGACGUCUUUGAAGUUUGAACCUCUAGCCAAAUUCUAUUAUAUGGUAAUUGGUCCGAGCCAUACACGAAUAGGAUAAGUAAUGACAGAUUCAGUUAUUUGGCCCUAAUCGCCACACACGUAUAGAGGAAUAAGAAAUAAAGACAAGACACAUCCUAUCACGUCCUCGCAAAAUCACGAUUAUGGGAAUGGUCAGCUACAUAACCAUAAUUGAGAUUCUACUACCGACGUGUAUUCUAUUAGUCACAAGAACAACCUAAGCUCUUAUACCAAUUUUGUCACGACCCAAUUUAGGAUCAUAACCGGUGCUUAGGAGAAAGUGCUCCCAAGUAAGCCUCAUCGGUAAUUUACGAAAAAUCAGACAAAUUUUCCUUGUUUUAAGACUAUCCAAAAAUAAACAUGUCUUAGAAAUCAACAACACAACUAACAAAUAUCCACCAAACAAGCUAUAAUUCUUAUUCACGAAGUAUUUCCAACACAAUAAUAAUAACUUCAUCUCCAAGUAUACGAUAGGAAAGUCUAAUACGAGUCACAAGUCUAUAUCAAUAAAAAAAAAUACUUAUGACACUUAUAAAAAUGACUAUAGAGCGACUCUAAGAGUUUCAAGAAAGAGACUAUAACAAAUAAAUAACAAUCUUCGCUCACGCGAAUAAAUACGGGGCUCGUCAGGAACUGUUAACUCAUGUACUCUAAUUAACGGAAUCCUCGCCUGCGUCUACUAUUGUCUCUGUUUAAAUAAUAGCGGAGAGUGAGUCGCUAGCUCAGUGAGUAAUAAUACUUAACCACAAUCGUUUUUAAUGGGGACAAGUCAGAAAGCAUGCCUAUAUAAUAACAAUUAGAAACUAUCAUAAAAAUUAAUUGCCCUGUCAAAAACAGUAAAUAUAAUCAGUCUAUUCAUGUACUUCCUGUAACAAAAAUGAAUUUAACAAAUCGGUAAUAAACUCGGUAAACACUGUCUCAUAGCAAAUCUUUAUAUUUGGGAGCAUUUUCAAGAAAGGAUCAUGUAAUUUGUAUCACUAUGUGGACCCCUUCUUAAAAGGAGUCAAAUAUAACUGUAGGUUCCUACUCGAGGGAAAACUGUAACUGUAUGCUAAUUCUACCUUACUUCUAGCGAGGGCUAUAAUUGUACUCGGUAAUCGGUAAAUACAAGGUGCACCAAGUCUAACGAACCCGUUGUUAGCUACGGGAUCCUUCAAAGUCUCCUCCCAUUCAUACUUUUCUUUGUAAAUAGUAAAUAUUCAUAUGGAAGCAUUUUCAAAAUAGUACAGGGCAUUUCAAUUCUUAUCAAAUCAUGUAAUCCGAUUUCGGUAACGAUAAUCAUAUCUCUAAUAACAGUAAAAUAUGUCUAGUAACAGUUAGAACAUUUUUAAUAGCUGUAAACAUCUCAAGUAAACGAUUCAGUACCAUAUCAAGUAAAGGACUUGUCCCACAUGCAAUUUCAAAUAUUAGGUAACAGAUUUUUCUUUCAAAAUAAUGUAUAAACCAUGCAAGUUAUGAAAACACAAAUUGUGGUAAGAUUACUACUCACAGUACUCGUGUUGAAAUAUCAAACUCAUCACCUCGAGCAAUCUGUAUGGCUUCAUUCAAUCAAUCUAUAAUCACAUCAUAUUAAUCUCGUGUAAAUAUUUAUUUUGUGCAGGCUAAUUAUAACUAAUUUAGAAAACUUAACCAUCGGGGUUCAUGUUUGAGUCUAACUUUAUCUAUUUAUAUUUACCCAUGCGAUGGGUAAUUCAACCGGUCUAUUAUCUAUCAAUCCUACAUAUUCAUAAAAUUUACUCAUUAUAUUUUAAUUUACACCAAAUUAAAAACAUGUACCUUUGGACCUCGUUGUGAUAUAUAAAUAGACUGAUAUGUAGUUAGUAAACUGAAGAAGAAAACUUAAGAAUCUGUCAAGAAGGCUCAAAUAUGGAGUUUAAAUGAUACCUGAAGAAAUCGAAAGUUAUUCGAAUUCGCAGUUGCCGAAUGUUGAUACCAUUCUUGGCUUUACAAUUCUGCAGUGCCAAGCUUUUGCACGUUUUUCUCCUUUGCGAAACAUGGAUAAUUUCAAUGCUUUUUUAUUCUCUUCAACUCUUUCAACUCCCUUAAUCUUCA